rnacentral:rRNA from 1 species
CCUACGGGUGGCAGCAGUGAGGAAUAUUGGUCAAUGGGCGCGAGCCUGAACCAGCCAAGUAGCGUGAAGGAUGACUGCUCUACGGGUUGUAAACUCCUUUUAUAAAGGAAUAAAGUGAGGUACGUAUGCCUUAUUGUAUGUACUUUAUGAUUAAGGCUCGGCUAACUCCGUGCCAGCAGCAGCGGUAAUACGGAGGAUCCGAGCGUUAUCCGGAUUUAUUGGGUGUAAAGGGAGCGUAGAUGGGUUUUUAAGGCAGAUGUGAAAGUUUGCGGCUCAACCGUAAAAUUGCACUUGAUACUGGCAGUCUUGAGUAUAGUUGAGGUAGGCGGAAUUCGUGGUGUAGCGGUGAAAUGCUUAGAUAUCACGAAGAACUCCGAUUGCGAAGGCGGCUUACUAAACUGUCACUGACGUUGAUGCUCGAAAGUGUGGGGAUCAAACAGGAUUAGAUACCCUUGUAGUC